rfam:Triticum aestivum genome assembly, contig: Triticum_aestivum_CS42_TGACv1_scaffold_049687_1BS
CAUCCACUCCCUCCGUCCGGAUUACUUGUCACCGAAAUGGAUGUAUCUAGACGUAUUGUAGUUCUAGAUACAUCCAUUUUUAUCCAUUUCCGCGACGAGUAAUUCGGGACGGAGGGAGUAUCAU